CUUCCGCAAUUGUCUAGCAAAGGUCUAGAAUAGGUCUUGUAGACCUAUCAAAGACUUUUUCUAGACCUAUUUAGAUCUUUCAUUUUCCUACGGGAAUGAUGACAACAUGCUCGUAGCAACUUGUUUCGGACAGCCUUUACUUAGUUUGUUACUAGUCUGUUACCGCCAUCAACCUUGUAACAAGGUGACAACAACUUGUUCCAGACUUGUCGUAACAACUGGGAACAAGCAGUGUAAACACAUCCUGAUAUCGGC